rnacentral:lncRNA from 1 species
UGACAACAUCGACAUUGGCAUAUUCCAUUAAUUCUUAGGGUAUCAUUUUUCAAUAACAGACAAUACUAAUAUCAUUAAGAUAUUAACAGACAACAAUAGCAACACAUCAACUCCAAAAAACUGUCUGAAGCAGUCAAUAAACUAGUAUCAUUUUUCAGUAACAGACAGCACUAAUUGAAGCAUCAAAUCUUGUUUGCAUAAUAAUUAUUAAGAAUGAAUCUAGUUUAACAAAAUCCUAUAC